rnacentral:rRNA from 1 species
UACGGAGGGCGCAAGCGUUGUUCGGAAUCACUGGGCGUAAAGCGCGUGUAGGCGGCUUGGUAAGUCGGGUGUGAAAGCCCGGGGCCUAACCCCGGAACUGCACUCGAAACUGCCUCGCUAGAGUCUCGGAGAGGGUGGUGGAAUUCCCAGUGUAGAGGUGAAAUUCGUAGAUAUCGGGAGGAACACCAGUGGCGAAGGCGGCCACCUGGACGAUGACUGACGCUGAGACGCGAAAGCGUGGGGAGCAAACAGG